ACCUACGGGGGGCAGCAGUGAGGAAUAUUGGUCAAUGGUCGGGAGACUGAACCAGCCAGGCCGCGUGAGGGAUGAAGGUACAGAGUAUCGUAAACCUCUUUUGUCAGGGAACAAAGGCGGGGACGUGUCCCCGGAUGAGUGUACCUGAAGAAAAAGCAUCGGCUAACUCCGUGCCAGCAGCCGCGGUAAUACGGAGGACGCGAGCGUUAUCCGGAUUUAUUGGGUUUAAAGGGUGCGCAGGCGGUCUGUUAAGUCAGCGGUCAAAGCCCGGGGCUCAACCCCGGCCCGCCGUUGAAACUGGCAGG
rnacentral:rRNA from 1 species